GAAUCCUUUCUUCAUGCAGUGCUGACAGGAAAGGGCUAAGGCAGUCUGCUCCUCAGCAGAAGCAGAAAGCCACAGAGAAUCCUCUGAGCCAGGAGAGAAUGAAUUCAUAAUACAUAGGACUUUACUCCAUGAAAUGCUUCUUCUUUUCUUACACUUGAAGCCAUGCAUGUGGAAGUUAAUGGUCCCAUGAGAGAAGUAUAUAUUAGACAUAAACUAAAAGAACAAAUGACUCUGAGCCCAGACUAAUCAUUUUCUUUCUGCUCUAUGCUGUAGAUGCAUCAUCUGCUCUUUGCCAUCCAUAGAUUUAUUCUAGUUCUAAACACAAAGUAUUUCCCCUUAUUUAUGUCAGGCAUAACAUACAAUAUCCUCAUUCUCCUUUUCCAACCCAGAAUAUCUCAAGUGCUGACAAGAUGUUCUCAUUCUACACUUAUAUUCUAGGAGAGGGAAGACCAAUUAAAGCAUCCUUUAGUAGUGAAGUGUUAAUCAGAAAAGAGAACUAAUAUUCACUAAGUGAGGAUAUCUGGCAUUAAGUGAGUGCGUACUAAAUAAAUUACUUGUGUUAAUGAUGUGUUAAAUAAAUUAAUGAAGUAGAACUAGGGGAGAAGAGGAUCAGUUAUUCUUGGCUGAAGAUCUUGUGAAUUUUAUGUUUUUUUACCUUUGUAAACAAAGAAUCUUUUUGAUCCCAUUAUGCUUCUGACAUCUCACUAAAUCAUGCCACCUCUGCAUAAAGAUUCAGGAAAAAAAAUGGAAGCAGUCACUUCUCUCUCUUCCUGGAAUGCUCAGAGAUCCACAUGGUUUCCUCUUGCAACAGCCACCUUAUCAGAGAUGUCUUGUCUGACCACCCAAUAUAAAAUAGCACCACAUCAUUCCAAUCCCUCAAAAUCUCUAUCCCCUUUCCCUGCUUUUUCUUCACAGUGCUUAUCACUACCUGGCAUAUUAUACAUUUAUUUAUUUGUUUAUUCAUUCACUGCCCCCUACUGCUUAUCUGCCACUGCAGUGUGAGCUCCAUGAGAGAAAGAGCUUUUCUUUUGGUUCACUGCUGUAUUCUCAGCACCUAGAACUGUUCCUUCCACACUGGAAGCGCAAUACACAUUUGUUAAAUGAAUGGAUGAAUGACCAUGAACUACUUACUGUACAAUUCUUUUGAAGAUGACUUCCAACCGGAAGACAAAACUUGAGACAUCUUACAGGUCUUCCAUGUUAUAUUUGGUUAUGUGAGUCUAGGGCUGUAAUUAACAAGGUUCAUUGAUAAAUGAAAUCACUGAUCUUGUUAGCAGUAGUGAGGUUAGACCAGAUCUAUUUUUAGACGGAGACUAAUUAUAAAUAUGGUGGCUGCAUAAGUAGAGAUGCUGACAUAUUCUUCCUAGUGCAGCGCUUGGAAGCACUAGGCAUGCAAUCUAUGGGGGAUAAAAGUGAAAAGAUGGAGAUUGGGUGUUGUAAAAAUGAUCAAAUUCUUGCAGUUAAAUCUGCAAGUCCUGGAUCUGCUGCUUAUUCUUGUAGGACCUCGAGCAAACGAAUUAAAUUAUUUGGCCUCAUUUUUUCUCAUCAAUAAAAUGGGCAUAGGUAGCAAUUUGUCAACACUGACCUUCAAGGGCUAUUGGGAAAAUCAAUUCAGAUAAUAUUGGGUGAUCAGCCAAGCCUUUUCUGGUAAGGUGACUUAAAAGAAGACAUCGUGUGGUUCUCUAAGCAUUCUAGGAAGACAGUGAGUGUGAAGGCUUUGAAGUGAGAGCGUUCAUGGUGUAUCAACUUGCUUCAGGGAGGCAAGAGUGGGAGAAUGGAGGAAUAGAAGGGGAUACCGGAAGGAGAUGAGGAUGAAGGUAAUAGGGUUGGAGGCAGAUGACAUGCCACAAUAAGGGCUUUGUCCCUUGCUUCAUUCAGCACACCUUCACAUUUAUUUUCAUAAUUCUUUGCACUCUUUUCUGUUAUCUCCAGACACCCAGAGAGAUCCCUUGCAUGUGUGUCUUCAUCCAGUGGCCCUGCAGUGCAUGGAUUAUAUUCACAUUCUGUAAUUAGGUUUGAUUCUUGCAUUUGACUUUGGGCAACUUACUCACCCUUUUGGUGAUUCAUUUUACUGAUCUAAAAAGUGGAGACGGUGGUGGUGGUGAUAAUGAUGAUGAUAUUAUCCACAUCCUAGGGCUGUUUUCGGGAUGACAUGAAUGAGUAUGUGGAAAGCACAGUUCCUGACAUGUAGGAAGCACCGUGUAAGAGUGGGCUGGUCCUAUUUAACAGGGAGGAUAAAGAUUGCUAAAGUAAAUCACAGUGUCCAAUAUGACAUUCUUCCCAAGAAUCUUUUCUUUCUAAGAGACAGUGUUUCUUGACAGUUUUUAAUCAUGGAAUUCAAGGUGUGAGAGGCCACUAUCUAGGGGAGAGAAUUUUAAUCAGAAAAGCCUUCCUAGCAUGCUUCCUACAAUAUACCAUAGUUUACUUCUAUUUACAGAAAGACCAACCCUUCACUCCUUCAGAAUUCUAAGGGCAAUACAUGCUCCUUACUUUUCUUUGUUGACUCAAUAUGCUUAUGACUUUUCAGUAUCAAAAUCUUUGGUUUUAUUUUAUGUUAGGUUGUAAAUGUUAGGCAUCCAAGGAUCCACACUUGCAUGAAAAAUAGGGCCAUCAUUCCAUUGUGCACUCAGAAAGGAGAAAUUGCUCCAAGCUGUGGGAGAGAUGGUUCAUCUCGCACAUCUGAGAGUCAGAGGCAGUGGAGGAUUGAGCUAUAAGGGGAGGGCCAUAGUAGCAUAUGCUCAUGAAUAAUGAAUCUGACAUUAUAGCUAUGCAAAUAGAACACAACAAGCUCUAAGCUAAAACUUGGUUUCAUCAUUUAUUCACGGCAUCUUGUGUUCAGCACCUGGAUAAUGCUCAGAAUGGCAAGGGAACAAAGCAAUCUGCUUGCUGUACUUGGGAUAGAGAAGGCCUGCAUGAGGAAGCCAGCCAUCUGAGAUGAUAUGAUUUCCAUCACAAACUCUGAUGGUAAAUGAAGGUGAACAAAAUGCUAGAGGAAAUGUAUGCUCUGUUGCCUAAAAAGUGGACCAAUGUGAAAGCUUAUUAAGGCACAGAGUGACAGUGAUUACUGAUGCUCAGGAUAGUGGACAAAGACAAGUUAGAGACUGAAUAUAAUCAAUGCAUUUUGUGAUCAUUAUAUUUUAGUAUUUUAAUUUAUAUGGAAUAGACCUUAUUAUCAGUUUCAUUACUCUGGGGGAAGUUCAACACUUUCUGCCAAUGUUGAAUUUACCUGUAAAGAAUGUAUUUUUCAAAUUCAAUCAUCAAUAAAAUAUUGCAGUAAUGAAGAGAUGAGGAAUUGGAUCAAAAAGAUGUCUGGAUUUGUGUACUUGUUGUGCAGAGAAACAAUCCUUCAUUUCUUGCCUCUUCUCUAGGAAAGGAGUACCCAUAGAGAAUUUCUCAUAAUGGAAGGACUCUUACUCCUAUGCUUGAUUAGGAUUUCAGUAUAAAUGCACAGCAUGAGAGAGGACCUAGGCCUAAUAACUGUCCACCUAAACAGCUGCAGAUAACUCUGGCUUGUUUUUACAAGUUCUUUGGAGAAAGAUUUUAUAUCUUGCUUAUGUUAUACAGUUAUUUCCUAACGCUGACAGUCAGGAGAGUCUUCUUUGUAUCGUGAGCAAAUCUGAAUUGAUCUCAAUAUAAUAUUAUGAAAAAAAUCUGUGUUGGCAUUGAAAAGUAGGAAAACAUCGUCACCCACAUGCCAAAGGCUGCAGGGGAUUUCUGCAAGAUGAGACCAAAUUGAGCAAAAAAUGGAAGAGCCUGUGAGUUGCCCUGUACAUUAGAAUUGCCUGGAGAGUAACGAAAAGCCCAGAUGUCUGGGCCUCGUUUGCCAGUUGGUUAGUUGCAAUUUUUUUUCUUUUUUUUCUUUUUGUCCUUUUAGGUCCGCACCCAUGGCAAUGGAGGUUCCCAGGGAAGGGGUCGAAUCGGAGCUGGAGCUGCCGGCCUCCAUCACAGCCAUAGCAAUGCGGGAUCUGAGCCACAUCUGUGACCUACACCACAGCGCACAGCAAUGUCAGAUCCUUAACCAACUGAGUGAGGCCAGGGAUCGACCCUGUGUUCUCACGGAUGCUAGUCAUAUUCGUUUCUGCUGAGCCACAACAGGGACUGCGGUUGGUUGCAAUUUGUCUGGGAUGAGGUCCAAGCAUUGGUGUUUGAAAUGCCCCAUAGGUAAUUCUGAUUUGCAGCCGGGAUGGGAAUCCAGUGCCCUAAUUGAAGCCUGCUGGUGGGCUUUCAGCUCAAUGCAGAAAGGGUUGGGCUGGAGGGAGGGGCAGCCUGAGGGAAAGAGUGAGGCAGACAUUUGCCAGAGAAGUGCAAUAAGGGCUCGAGUCUUUCUAAGUGGGGAUUCUCUAGUGGAGCCCGAUCUCGAAGCUUCACUCGAUGUGGACAGUAGCAUUCCCCCUCCAGCUUUCAGGAACAGAAUUAGAGGAAGCUGUGCCUGAAGUGGAAGGCUUGCAGUCACAGCUUCACAAGUCAGCAGAUCCUUCAGGUUCAUGGAGAUGGGAAACCGGGCCUGAUGGGCAGGGAAGUGUGUCAGCCCUGUGAAGGCAGUGGGAGGAACCGGGUAGGGUGUCCUGAGGCAGCAGAGGGUAUUCUCUCCAGGCUUGGCACCUGGGGCUACAGCUGCACCAAACUGAGGGAAGUUGCUCGAGACCUUGCUCCCUCUUGUGAUGCUGGAUCAUGAAAGAGGCAACUGGUGCUCAAUCUAAAGAUCUAACAAGAAGUCUCUAUCCAGCAAACAAGUGGAAACUGAAGAGGUCCCCAAGAGAGACAAACUGUGUAUUUGAACAAGCAGAACUUGAUGAGGUCCAGUUAUAAAGUGACUCUGCACAAGCCCACUAUAUUGUUUCUGCCCUUUGGCCUUUGGUGAACUAGUUGACUGAUCCAGUUACUCUUAGAUAAUAGAAAUGGUUUUGAUCAGUUAGUAUCAUGAAGCAGUCUCGUUUUAGUGCCAGGUAAUGGUCAAAACCUCAAUAUAAAGCUUUUCUUGGAAUUCCCUGGUGGCUCAGCAGUUAAGGAUCCAGCAUUGUCACUGCUGUGGCUCUCGUUGCUGCUGUGGUGCAUGUUCUAUCCCUGGCCCAGGAACUUCCAGAUGCUGCAGGUGGGGCCAAGAGAGAAGUCUCCCCCCCCCCUCCCCUGCUCCUCAGUUACACACUCAGACAAGAAGGCAGCAUCAGGAAAGGACAUUCUUGGCUGGCACUGCCAUGAUUGAUCUGGCACUCUCCUGAUCUGGCAGACACUCAAAGCCGAUAUUCUCUUUCACAGGGACAUUUUGUAGAGCCUCAGAAGUUUCUCUUUGGGAAGACUACUGAAUUUCCAUGGUUGAGGGUAAAACUGUUCUUACUGUCUGCUUACAUCUCCUCUCUAAAUAAAACUCUUCAAGACUCACUGAGGGGGGCUUCUCACAGAACACUGAUAUUUUGCUCUAGAGAAUUCUACAUUCCAACUCACUCAUAAGCCACUUCAAUUCAACCCUUUUAUAACUUUUAAAUGAGUAAGGAGGACUUCCCUUCAUGGCUCAGUGGUUACCGAACCUGAGUAGGAUCCAUGAGGAUACAGGUUCAAUCCCUGGCCUCACUCAGUAGGUUAAGGAUCCAGUGUUGCCGUGAGCUGUGGUGUAGGUUGCAGAUGCAGCUCAGAUCCAGUGUUGCUGUGGCUGUGGCAUAGGCUGGCAGCUGUAGCUCCAAUUUGACCCCUC
rnacentral:lncRNA from 1 species